AGUGUGAGAUGACGGGACCAGAGCACGUUCCUGGCUGCAGAGGCCACAAGUCACGCUGUCUCUGAGAGUGGAAUGUCACCAUCGCCCAGGUGGGGAUUUUUGUGUGUUUUGUUCACUGCUGUACACCCAGCCCCCAGCACAGCGCCUGUCCAGGACAAGUGCCCAGUAAACACUUGGGAAGCAAUGCAAGCGUCCUCCCAGCAGCUCCUGCAAACAGACCCCCGACCCAAGCCCUUCCUUCUGCCUCCACUGCCACCACUGCUGCUCAUCUCUGCUGGCACAGAAGUCUCUUCCCUGGUCUUCCAGAAAUCCCCUCUCCACACUCAGCCAGAGGGAGCUAUUAAAACUGUGGGCCAGCCCACAUCAGUCCACAGCAAAGUCCUCUCUAAGGGAUCUCUGUUGCUUGGAGAAUAAACCCUCGGAUUCCUUCCUUGGCUCUCGGGGCCUCCUCUCUGACCUCCCUCUGUCUCCUCUCCCAGCCUUCCUCCUCACUCACCCUCCAGCCAUGCUGGCUUCCUCCUUGCUCCUGAAACAGCCUGAGGCCCACACUGCCCCGGGCCCUUUGCACUGGCUGUUUCCUCUGCCUGGAACACUUCUCCUAGGCAUCCACAGGGCUCCCUCCCACAACUCCUUCGGGUGCCCACAUGGGAAGCCAUCCCUGACCACCCCCCCGACUUCCUUCUGAGCAAGGUAGGGUCUUUCUACCUAGUCAUGAGGGCAGGGAUUUUUGUCUGUUGUGUUCUCUGUGUGCCCCCAGUGCCAUCCCAGUGCCUGGCAGAUGGUAAGUGCUCGACACACAUUGGCUGACUGCCUGAAUGAACAACUCUAUGAGCCGAUGGCAGAUAAGGACACUGAGGUCCUCUGGGGUAGGUGACCAGCCCAAGGCCACACAGCUGGUCUGAGAUUAGGCCAGGAGAGGAGCCCGGGUUGGUCACAUCCUGGAGUUGGCGUCUUGGAAACUGCAUCAGGAGAAUAACAAAGAUGAGACGCAGGCUCUAACAAGUGGAUACCAGUGACUCUCGCCCCGCCAGCCCCAGCCCUGCAGCCUUGGGCCCUUCCAGGAGUCAUGGUCUGCCUGCCUGGGGCAUUCCAGGCUUCGACCCAGGUCCUGCACUUUCUAUUUUGAGCCUCUUAGUCCUGAGGACUGUGUGUUCCCAGCAGGCGGCGCGGGCCAGAGGCUGAGCCUGGGUGUGGCUGUCACCCUAUCUGGGGCCAGAGACCCAGAUUCCCGGGCCCUUAACCUGUUGGCUGCUGAGGGCUCUGGCAUAAGCCCUGUUCCCUGCUUGAUUGUCUCCCCUUCAAGCCCCUGCCCUGGUAUCGUAUCGGCCCAUCUCACCUUGGAUUAUAUCCCUGUUUGGCCCCAUUUGAAUCCUGGCUCUGCCCCUUUCCAGCAAUGUGACCUUGGGCAAGUCACUUCAUCUCUCUGGGUCUCAGUUUCUUCAUCUGGGAAAUGGGGACAAUAAGAGUACCUGUCUCUGGCCAUGUGUGGUGACUCAUGCCUGUAACCCCAGCGCUUUGGGAAGCCGAGGCGAGAGAAUUGCUUGAGACCAGGAGUUUGAGAUCAGCCCUGGGCAACAUAGUGAGACCCCUGUCUCUACAAAAUUCUAAAAAAAUUAGCCGGGUGUGGUGGUGUGUGCCUGUAGUCCCAGCUAUUCUAGAGGCUGAGGCGGGAGGAUUGCUUGAGCCCAGGAGUUUGAGGCUGCAGUGAGCUAUGAUUAUGCCCCUGCACAUCAGCCUGGGUGAUAGAUUGAGGCCCCAUCUCUAAAAAUAACAAUACUAAUAAUAAAUAAAAAUGAAAAUGAGUACCUGUCUUCUGGGGUUGCAGAGGAGAUUCAAUGUGAUGAAAUUGAUGAGAGUGCCCUGCAGGGAGCCGGAAACUCAGGGAGCAUCGAUAAUGAGUCCCCCACCAUCAGCAGCUGGCUUAAAUAUAAAAACUGUCAUGGCCUCUGGAGAAAUGACAAGAAUUCGAAGGAGCUUCCCUGCACUGGCCACCCUACACCCUACACCCUUACUUCCUCCCCUCAACUUGCCUGGAUUUAUCGACCCCCACUACCCCACUGGUUGCCUUCUCUCCACCUGGCACAUUUCGUAUGAAUUUGCUUGUUGGUUCUUGCCUAUCUCCCCAGUAGAACAUUAGCUCCUUCAGGACAGGGACUUUUGUCUACCUUAUGCACCUAGUGCAAUGCCUGGCACACAGUCGGUGCUUAAUAAAUGUUUCUUAAAAGAACCAAUAAAUGAAUAGUGACCUCUCCGGGGAGAGGAGCCCUGAGCUCACCUCCUGCCCCCAGCCCAGGGCUCUUAGGUGCUUGUUGGUGUCAGGCCCAGGCCCCCCUCUCAUCAAGCAGCCAAUAAAACUGCCCUGGUUGGCGUUCUCAUUUCACAGAUGGAGAGACUGAGCCCAGAGAGGGAGAGUCACCUGUCUGAUGUCACACAGAGGUCAGCAUCUGGGCUGGGAUUCCAGCCCAGGACCAUGUGGGGUGGGGGGCAGUGGAUCAAUCUUUUCCUGGAGGGAGUCAAUGGUGAUGGUGGGAAUGGGUCAGGGGUGCUGGCAAGGAGGGUCCAAGGCCCCCAGGAGGGAGGGAGGCAUGGGAGAUGAGUUUGUCCCUCUUGAGUUCUGUCUCUCUCUGUGUCUCUCUGUUUCUGCCUCUUUCUGUCUCCUUGUAUUUCUCAGUCCCUGUCUUCGUCUAUACCUCUUUCUCUCUUCCUUGUGUAUCUGACCCACUGCCCAGGAGGGGAUGCAGGCAGAGACCCCUGGCUUGGGUCCUGGAGUUGGGGCCCACGAGGGGAUUGACAUCUGGGGUUGAGCUGGGAAUCUGAAGCCAGACCCUGCAGCCAGGGACAGCAUUCCAGUCUCGGCUCCACACUCCAGGGAUAGCCUUGGAACGCCAGGCAGUUCAGAGAGCCUGAGGUCUGGUCUUGGAGACCUGGGUUCCAAUCCCAGCUUUGCCACAUUCCAGCCAUGUGGCCUUGGGCCCUUAGCCUUUGUUCCUGUAAAAUGGGACCACUGAGAGCCCGAUCUCAGGGUUUUAUGAGGAGGAACGAUGAGAGGGCUGUGCUGGGCUUCCUGAAGCCCUGUGUGGCCUGGAAAGCACUCAAUAGAUGAUAACUCAGUGUAAUGAUUUCUUCUAGCAGAUGGGGAAAGCGAGAGUUAAAGAGGCCCGAUCAUUUCACUCACUCAUUCCUCAAACGUUAUUAAGCAC
rnacentral:lncRNA from 1 species